AUACGUAGGAUGCGAGCGUUGUCCGGAAUUACUGGGCGUAAAGAGCUCGUAGGUGGUUUGUCGCGUCGUCUGUGAAAUUCCGGGGCUUAACUCCGGGCGUGCAGGCGAUACGGGCAUAACUUGAGUACUGUAGGGGAGACUGGAAUUCCUGGUGUAGCGGUGAAAUGCGCAGAUAUCAGGAGGAACACCGGUGGCGAAGGCGGGUCUCUGGGCAGCAACUGACGCUGAGGAGCGAAAGCAUGGGUAGCGAACAGGAUUAGAUACCCUGGUAGUCCAUGCCGUAAACGGUGGGCGCUAGGUGUAGGGGUCUUCCACGACUUCUGUGCCGUAGCUAACGCAUUAAGCGCCCCGCCUGGGGAGUACGGCCGCAAGGCUAAAACUCAAAGGAAUUGACGGGG
rnacentral:rRNA from 1 species